rnacentral:rRNA from 1 species
GGAUGCGAUCAUACCAGGACUAAUGCACUAGAUCCCAUCAGAACUCCGUAGUUAAGCGUGCUUGGGCGAGAGUAGUACUAGGAUGGGUGACCUCCUGGAAAGUCCUCGUGUUGCAUCCC